rnacentral:rRNA from 1 species
UUAAUUCAUUAAAUUAAAAAAAUUUGGCUGUGUUUUUUAAUAUUAGAGGAAUUUGUAGUUUAAUUGAUAAUACACGAUAAUAUAAACUUUUUAAUUUAUGUAUUGCUGUUAAAAAAUUUAUUAAAUAAAUUUUAAAUAUUUAAAUUAAAAAUAAUUCAAGUCAAAAUGUAGUAUUUUAAAGAUAUGAAUUACAAUUUGUUUAUUAAAUUGGAUUUAAUAGUAA